rnacentral:rRNA from 1 species
GGGUCAGUAGGUUGGUCGUGCCACCGGUACGUACUGGUCUCACUGAUUCCUCCCUCCUGAAGAACCGUAAUGCCAUUAAUUUUGUGUUGCGGGGAAACAGGACUGUUACUUUGAAAAAAUUAGAGUGUUUAAAGCAAGCUAACGCUUGAAUACAUUAGCAUGGAAUAAUGAAAUAGGACGAUCGAUCCUAUUUUGUUGGUUUCUAGGAUUGACGUA